UACGAAGGGGGCUAGCGUUGCUCGGAAUCACUGGGCGUAAAGCGCACGUAGGCGGAUCGUUAAGUCAGGGGUGAAAUCCUGGAGCUCAACUCCAGAACUGCCUUUGAUACUGGCGAUCUUGAGUUCGGGAGAGGUGAGUGGAACUGCGAGUGUAGAGGUGAAAUUCGUAGAUAUUCGCAAGAACACCAGUGGCGAAGGCGGCUCACUGGCCCGAUACUGACGCUGAGGAGCGAAAGCGUGGGGAGCGAACAGG
rnacentral:rRNA from 1 species